rnacentral:lncRNA from 10 species
UAUGCACCCACCUGUAUCCAAUCCAUACACUCACUCCCCUCUGUAUACACCCACCUGUAUCCAAUCCAUACUCCUCACCAUAUACACCCACCUAUAUCCAAUCCAUACACUCACUGCCCCCAUAUGCACUCACCGAUAUCUAUUUUGUGCACUCAGGGCACAGGGUUCCUGCUUUAUAGCGAGUGUUUGCAUGCUGAAGCCUGACCUCAUUUACUCAUUCAACAAGCAUGCACUGAACACUCGGCAAUGACUUCCUGAGUACCUACCAUGUGCCCAGCUCAGGGUCCUGGGCUUUUAAGUGUUUCUCAUGCCUGGUGUCUUUCCUACCACAACCAGAUAAGCAACUGGAUAUUUGAAGACCCUGUGGACAUGGAUUCCUAAUAAAGGUCCUUCGAAUUUUCACUACUUCUGGGUGUAGAUAAAAUUAAUUCACAUAUAAUGGAAAGACAAAAUGUGGUAUAUCCAUACAACAGAAUACUAUACAGGAAUAAAAAUGAAUGAAUCACAGAUACAAGCAACCACAUGGAUGAACCUCAGAAACAAGACUCUUCAGUGAAAGAGGCCAGACAUAAGAGACCAACCACUCCAUUCAGAUGGGAUGUCCAGAAAAAUGGAAUCUAUAGAGACAGAAAGAAAAUUGGGGUUACCUGGGAUGGGGGUGAGGGAUUGCAGUAAAUAUGCAUGAGGGAUAUUAUUGGGGUGAUGGAAAUGUUCCCAAAUUGAUUUACUGUGAUGGUAUGCAACUUUGUAGAUGUACUAAAAUGUCAUUGAAUUGUGCACUUGAAACAAGUGAAUGAUGUGUAAAAUGUGCAAUACAGUUAUUUAUAAAAUAAAAAAUUAACAUAUAUGCAUCACACUACUUAUAAUGCAUUUAAAAAUAACUUAUAGACAAUGUAACACAAAUAAAUAGUUUCUUUCCCAAGGAGG